rnacentral:misc_RNA from 1 species
UUUCCGUAGGUGAACCUGCGGAAGGAUCAUUACACGUUUCCAAACGUACCAACCACGAGAACUCGUUUCUUUAGAGUGUCUGCGAGCGAAACUUGCCAAGGCGCGCCAAAGUAUGGCGGGUCGCGCACGAUUCCUUUUUUGGGGGAUCGUGAGCGGCUGUUUGGCGCUCUGAAAGCCGCUUCGUAGCAACCAUUUUUUCUUUCUUUACAAACGCAUUGUACUCUUCGUACUAAUUCACUUUGUGAAAGUCAGCCACGGUUUCGGCCUCACGGCCGCCGCCGUGCUGAUGAACUAAAAGACAUUUAAUUGCUGAACAACUCUUAGCAACGGAUAUCUUGGUUCUC